ACGCUGGCGGCAGGCUUAACACAUGCAAGUCGAACGGUAACAGGGAUUAGCUUGCUAAUUUGCUGACGAGUGGCGGACGGGUGAGUAAUGCUUGGGAAUCUGGCUUAUGGAGGGGGAUAACUACGGGAAACUGUAGCUAAUACCGCGUAAUAUCGGAAGAUUAAAGGGUGGGACUUUCGAGCCACCUGCCAUAAGAUGAGCCCAAGUGGGAUUAGGUAGUUGGUUAGGUAAAGGCUGACCAAGCCGACGAUCUCUAGCUGGUCUGAGAGGAUGACCAGCCACACUGGAACUGAGACACGGUCCAGACUCCUACGGGAGGCAGCAGUGGGGAAUAUUGCACAAUGGGGGGAACCCUGAUGCAGCCAUGCCGCGUGAAUGAAGAAGGCCUUCGGGUUGUAAAGUUCUUUCGGUGACGAGGAAGGUUGAUAGGUUAAUAGCCUAUCAAAUUGACGUUAAUCACAGAAGAAGCACCGGCUAACUCCGUGCCAGCAGCCGCGGUAAUACGGGGGGUGCGAGCGUUAAUCGGAAUAACUGGGCGUAAAGGGCACGCAGGCGGUGACUUGAGUGAGAUGUGAAAGCCCCGAGCUUAACUUGGGAAUUGCAUUUCAUACUGGGUCGCUAGAGUACUUUAGGGAGGGGUAGAAUUCCACGUGUAGCGGUGAAAUGCGUAGAGAUGUGGAGGAAUACCGAAGGCGAAGGCAGCCCCUUGGGAAUGUACUGACGCUCAUGUGCGAAAGCGUGGGGAGCAAACAGGAUUAGAUACCCUGGUAGUCCACGCUGUAAACGAUGUCGAUUUGGGGAUUGGGCUUUGAGCUUGGUGCCCGUAGCUAACGUGAUAAAUCGACCGCCUGGGGAGUACGGCCGCAAGGUUAAAACUCAAAUGAAUUGACGGGGGCCCGCACAAGC
rnacentral:rRNA from 1 species